rnacentral:rRNA from 1 species
CAGCAGCCGCGGGAAUACGUAGGUGGCAAGCGUUGUCCGGAAUUAUUGGGCGUAAAGGGCUCGCAGGCGGUCUCUUAAGUCUGAUGUGAAAGCCCCCGGCUCAACCGGGGAGGGUCAUUGGAAACUGGGAAACUUGAGUGCAGAAGAGGAGAGUGGAAUUCCACGUGUAGCGGUGAAAUGCGUAGAGAUGUGGAGGAACACCAGUGGCGAAGGCGACUCUCUGGUCUGUAACUGACGCUGAGGAGCGAAAGCGUGGGGAGCGAACAGGAUUAGAUACCCCGGUAGUCCCUGUCUCUUAUAU